UACAGAGGCCUCGAGCGUUAGGCGGAAUCACUGGGCUUAAAGCGUGUGUAGGCGGAUUGGUAAGUACCUUGUGAAAUCCCACAGCUUAACUGUGGAACUGCUCGGUAUACUGCUGAUCUUGAGCCACUCAGGGGCUACCGGAACAAGUGGUGGAGCGGUGAAAUGCGUAGAUAUCAUUUGGAACGCCAAUGGUGAAAACAGGUAGCUGGGGGUGUGCUGACGCUGAGACACGAAAGCCAGGGGAGCAAACGGG
rnacentral:rRNA from 1 species